AACCAUAGAAACCUGCGGAGUACCUGCGGAAGGAUCAUUACCGAGUUUACAACUCCCAAACCCCUGUGAACAUACCUAUACGUUGCCUCGGCGGAUCAGCCCGCGCCCCGUAAAACGGGACGGCCCGCCCGAGGACCCUAAACUCUGUUUUUAGUGGAACUUCUGAGUAAAACAAACAAAUAAAUCAAAACUUUUAGCAACGGAUCU
rnacentral:misc_RNA from 1 species